rnacentral:lncRNA from 1 species
CAACAAUAUGCCCUCAUGGUGAGGCGCGUGCCACAGAGCCCAGAGGCAGGGUCCCUGCGGAGGCCGUGCCUCUGAUUUGGUGUGGACACUGCUGUGUGCAUGGAUAUAUUUUUACAUACAUCUCUGGACAGCUGUCUGACUGUCAGUAGCAGGCCUCAGGCCUGGCGCGUGGGGCGGGGGACAUGGGAGUUUUCCAGUCCAGCUCUGCCUGCAGGCCACGCCCAGAGAUCCCCCUGUGGGCCCUUGCUGGGCCUAGCCCUCUAGUCCUGCUUCCUGACACUCCCGCAGGACCUGCGGAGCACCUGGAGUUCCUCAGAGUUCCUCAGGGCCAGGCGUGGUCUUCCCUGUUGGGACAUUUGACACAGGCAGCAGGGCCUUCCUGCUGUGUCAAGUUAGUUUAAGACAAUUAAGGCAAAGUGACUCUCAGGGGGUGCCUAUCCUGUACCUCAGGAGGCCAGAGAGGUGGCCUGUGGCAGUGUCUGGGCUGCUGUGUUGGGAUCCAUCGCACAGUGGUCCUCAGGGGCCUCUCCUGAGCCUGUCUUUAGAGUGCCCUCCUGGAAGGCUGCUGGCAGGCACAGUGUCCGAGCACUCUUUUCCAGGAUGCCCAGGGUUGGUGACGUGGGAACUGGGCUUUGAGGGAUGCCUAGGAGUUCUUCCAGCUUGGGAGCUGUGGAGAGGGCCCUGUGGGAUCAAUGGGCAAAGUGUACUUUGGUGAUGGCUGGCUGGUAGGCCACUGCAGGGCAGGGGCUUGUUCAAUGCCCCUCCUCCCGGUCCCUGGCCUCCUGAAUGCUGUAAUUAUGGGUCUGAAACCACCCUGCUCUGGGUGCUCCUUACUAACAGGACCAUCUGAACAUCUCUUUGUCCCCAAGCCCCAGUGCGGGGCCUGGCAAAACCAGAGAUGCCUGGUACAUGUUGGCUGAAUGAAUGAACCAGAUUCAGAGCGGCAGGGGCUCUGUGGUUUAGGAGGGGCCUGGGGAGGUUUUCAGUCUCACCCUGGAGGGCUCGGCCGCUGCUCUCCUGGCCCUGCCUUCUUGUUUGAAUUUCUGCUUUCCCAGUGGUGGGAGCAGGAGGGAGGAGCCCCGGGGCCCUGCCCUGGGGAUCUCAACCUGUGACUGGAAAUGACCUGGACAGGGAGAGCAGAGAGGGUCACCCUUUCAUCAGGGUUGGUGAAAGGCUCAGAGGGCUGCCUGGAGGAGGUGUUCUCUCAGCUGGUGCAGCAGGUGGAGGAGGCUGGGAUACCCCAGAGGGCUUUCUGGGGUGGAAGUGGUUUGCACCUAGACCUGGGAGGUGAGCGUGGCAGCUGCUCUGAGCACAUGGGUUUGGGGAGCAGUGUCCAGUGGCGUGGGCUUCUGCCUGGCCUGGUGUUGUGGGGUUUAGGCAGGCUGGCAG